GUCGCGGGCAGGGUCAGCCUUCGGUGUCCUCCCUCUCUAAGACCCUGAGCGAACCUAGGAAUGUUCCAGCACAGAUACAGCCAGCGCAGGCUGGUUCCCUCCAGUCUUCCUCCCGGAGCCUUGGCGGCCCCCUGCCAAAUGCCACAUGCACAUUCCACCUGCCUGGAAACUGGGCCAGCAGUAAGGUGGAGCCCUCCGGUGUCACAGACAGAGGAACAGACAUUCCACGGCGUUCCUGGCCACGUCCCUCACUUCUUGGCAAACUCUCCUAUCACACUGACCCAGGGCCAGAGAGGGGAGAAGAGGAGCAGGUCAGAGACGAGGCGGGGGAGAGGACUGGACAGGGAGGGGCAGGGCUCACGCCGGACCCCGAUGCAGGGACACGUGGAGUUCAGCAAGGUCCUCCAACCUGGCCCAGGCAGCCGCCUCAGAGGGACUGAGCGGGGAGGGAGGUCCCACCGUCACAGCAGGCUUACUGCUGCAUCCGUGCAUCUGCUGAGCCACCCCACCCAGGCGAUGUCACCUCUCUGUGCCCCACUGUUCCCCUCUGUCUGAUGGGAUUACUGAGGUGCUCAUGUCACCCCCUUUCCCAGGUGCUAACGAUGCUAUCAAGCACAGUGGCUGAUUCGAAGGAAGCAAAUUAAAAAUAAUUAGUAAUAAUCCUCGUAAUAGUGAUAUUGGUGAGUGAUUAAUAGUGGUAGUCAUGAUGAUGCGGGCAGUGAGCUGUAUGGAGCUGUAUGUCCCCUCCUGUACGUAGUCCAUGUGUGUUAUGAAUCCUGCCACAGGCCCUGGAGAAGGCCAUCAAAAAGAUGUGCACUUUAAACACAUAACCAGACUGCAGGAGGAGAAGCUAAGAGAGCUGAGAUUGGCAGAGGAAAAGAGGUUCCCAUUUCCUGCACGUCAGUUAAGGGCGGGGAAAGCUCAUUUCUGAGUUUUCAGGAAAACAGAAGGGCCCAUCCCAGGGCUGGGAAGCCAAGCAGCCUGGGGAGAAGGGUAAAGAAACGUGCAGACGGAUGUGUCUGUUCCCCAGGAUGCUCCAUGCACUCUCGGAUGGGCUCAAGACCAGCCACCAGCCAGUAGCACAAGAGUGAGGAACGGCACCCAGGGCACUCGGGAUGCAGUCAUCAAAUAUCUCACCCUGCAGGUAGGCGGGAAGAUUCCCUUCACCCGUCCUUGUUUCCAAGACUGUCCAGGAUGCGAGGAAGAAGGCUGGCGAAACCAAGCAGCGCAGCUAAGUAGGUCACAUUUAUUGCAAAGCUCUUCUCUGAGCUGCCAAAGCUCACGGAUACCAGAUGGCCCUUUCAGAGAGGCCUGCCUCUGUGACCUGGGACUAAACAAAGAUGAGUGCUUUGGAGAAAGAAUAUACGGAUUGAAAAUUAUUCUUGCUAAAAUGUAAAUGACUGAUAUCAGGAAAGCAAUGGGAGAUACCAGAAAUCGGAGGGAAAGAUUACGGAGCAGACAAAUGGAGAGGUGCAGACCAGAGAAUUCUAUCUGGAAUCAGAAAACCAGAUGUGCUACUUCCCAGCCUCCUUGGUCUCCCGGGAUCUUGAUCUCCUCACCUGUGGAGCUGGGGAAAUGCUUGUAAACUGAGUGACGGAACUGAUGACAAUGAAGGAACAAUAUAAACCACCACCGUUCACGCACAGGCUGCUCUGUGAUUUGGGGAUUUCACUAGGUCCCCAACAACUGGACCAGGGCUUUCAUUUAUUUCCCUUUAAAAAAAAAGUAAUGGAUGCUCAGAUGGAAAUCUGUGAUGUAGGAUUGAAGUCGCGUCCUCCAGUGAGGUUUUCGGGGGUCGGGUGAGCUGGCUGGUGGGGACUGCAGCCGUGCACCAAGUUUCUGAUGUGCCUUGAGUCCAGGGGUGAUUCUCCCCCUUGAGGGAGCAGCCCACAAGCCAUUUGGUGGCUCCCAGGUCCUGGCUGCUGAACGGUGGUGUGGCUUGAGAAGGGUAGCCUGGUGCAGAGCCGUCAUGUCUCGGUGCCCAGCCUGCUCACCUGCAAGAAGGGCUGGGUGACAUAAUCACCCCACGGCUGGGUGACAUAAUCCCCGUCAAGCCCGGGGGCUGUGCUGGGCACACAGUGCUCCACGGCGGUUGAUUUUGUUAUUAUUGUCAUUAUCAUUUUAUUAUCAUCACACAUAAUUUGAAUUAUUGCUCUGAGAUGACACGGAUGAUGGAAUGGGUUGUUUGGGGCAGUGGCUCUGGAGCUCUGGAAAGCAGAGUGUCUCCACAGAUGGGGCCACAUCACCGCCCCACACCUCCCUGCUCCCAGCCCCAGCUGGCUCCGCCCGGCAGGCUCUGGCAGCCUGGAGCACGCGGGCUCAGGUGACAGGCAUGUGCCGCAGGAGUGUGGGCAGAGCUGGACGCCAGAACCCCAGGCGGGCACCUCCAGCCCAGCCCUUGACCUCAGUGACUCACAUGCCAGGCAUGAUGGCGGAGGUGGCAUGAGGUUCAGAGCUCCACAGGAGGGGCACAGUGGGCAGGCAGGGUGGCUGGGGACCCCGUGGGGGAUUACAGGUAGCUAGCUCUCAAGGGCUAGAUUUGGACAUCAGGACUUGGGUGGGGUCCUCACAAUUUGAGUCCGUACAGCGUCCAGGAUCGGGGUCUGCAGGUGGGACCAGAUGUUCUCUGAGCCCUCAGGUCUAUUUCCAGGAACUCGAUCCUGACCAACAUAGAUGUCUAGAGGGCCGGCAGGAAGUAGAGGGCAGGGUGAGUCCUGGGUGGUAGCAGUUGGUGAUGGAGACAUGCCUAAGUGGUGAAGUGGUUUGUUUUUUUUUUAACUUUAUAAAAAAUUUUAUUUGUUCUUUUUAGUUAUACAUGGUAGUAGAGUGCGUUUUGACAUAUCAUACAUGCAGUAUAACUUCCCAUUCUUGUGGAUGUGCAUGAGGUGGAGUUACACUGGUCAUGUAUUCAUAUAUGAACACAGGAAAGUGACGUCCAAUUCAUUCUACUAUCUUUCCCAUUCCCUUCCCCCUACUCCCCCCCUCUCUCAUCUGGUGAACCUCCACUCCUCCCUCCCUCACCCCAACACCUCCUGCCUGUUGUGGGUCAUUAUCUGCAUGUGAGAGAGAACACUGGCCUUUGAUUUGGGGGGACUGCCUAUUUCACUUAGCAUAAUAGUCCCCAGGUCCAUCCAUUUACUGGCAAAUGACAUAAUUUCAUUCUUCUUUAUGGAUGAAUAACAUUCCAUUGUGUCUAUAUGCUACAUUUUCUUUAUCCAUUCAUCUGUUGAAGGGCACUAGGUUGGUUCCACAGUUUGGCUCUUGUGAAUUGAGCUGCUGUAAACAUUGAUGUGGCUGUGUCCCUGUAGUAGGCUGAUUUUAAGUUCUGUGAGUAUAGACCAAGGAAUGGGAUAACUGGGUUAAAUGGUGGUUCAAUUCAAGUUUUCUGAGGAAUCUCCAUACUGCUUUCCAGAGUGGUUGCACCAACUUGAAGUUCCACCAACAAUAGAUGGUGAAGUUUUGAAUCCAUAUUCAUUGGGGUCAGGGCUUUUGUGGCCGAUGGAUGGACCUCAGCCCACAGAGUAGGGCGAGACAAGGGCGUGGAGAACAGUUUGACUGAAUGUCAGGACCAGGAUGUGACCCCAGAGAGGCAGAGGCCAGGUUGAAUGGGUGUAGGGUACUCUCUAUGGCCAGGGAAAUGGGACUUAGGUUGGCAGCCACCUUGGCCACCUGAGUUGGGUUCAGCUCAGAUUGGAGUGAUCUGUAACGCAGAGCAGGCUGAGGGUGACCCCCUGGUGGAUACGCGAAGUGUGUGUGUGUUCCUGCAGGAGAAGCAGAGGACCAAGUGGAGGUGACAGCCACAAGCAGAAGGAGAGCCCAAAGCCACCUGGGUGGCCCCAGGACGGCUUCCCAGAAGAGGCUACCAGUUCCACCUGUGUGCCCCAACCCUGCCCCUGCCCUGAGGUCCAGAGGGGCACCCAGGGAGGGCCUCCACAGGUCCUGUUCUUCCUUUCUGAGUGACUGCCUUAAAAUAACAUUCUCAUGGCCAUUUGUCUACCCCCAGUUCCUUCCUUCUCUGGUUUCCACUUUUACACCACACCAGGAGUUUUUCUGUGAACACAACUCCUAUUUGAUUAUUCUCCAGCUCAGAAGCCUUCCAUGGCUCCCUACUGCUCAUGGAAGGAAUCUUCUUAACUUUUCAUCUAAGGUUCCCUGCAAUAUGACCUCUGCUUGAAGACCCUCUUCAAGCUUCUACCCAUGCUGAAAAUAGUGGAGAAUUGGCCAUUUAUCCUAAAUUCUACAAAGAUCCUGCCCUGUGCUUUGGAUUAGGCUCUGCCAGGAAGCUUUGGUGUCUUUGCCUUCCUUCUGAAGCCAGGCCUGGCCUCCCAGGGCCUGCUCACAUGCCCUUCACCCGCCAAUCGAGGGCUUCCUGCCUGCAGGGGGUUCUUCCUCCCCCUCACUGGGCUAUUGCCUUGUCCUGGGUGCUACAUUAGUAUGUAUUCUUAACAUUUUUGUUCAUUAUUCUCUCUCCCUAAACAGAAUUCAAGGGAGCUAAAUCUAAGAUGGAGAGUGUCCUGCCCCGCCUUGCUCUUCCCCCACACGAGGACCUUGUCCUCCUCCCUUCGUGUUCUCGUUCUGGCUGGGGGACUUGUCCAGCUAUUCUCUGCCUGGUGAACCCCAGAGAAGCUCCCCCAGGGUUUCAAGAGGCACCCAAGCUCUCUCCAUGGCGCUGUCCCACCCACAGCUCUCUGCGCGUCUGAAUUGGCCCUCUCCUGGCUGCUGGUCUUCCUGCCGGGCCCUUGGCUCCCAUGUGCAGAGCCUGGGGCUUCCAGCUGCUGUAGCCCUGCUGCCCAGGAAGGACCAUGCAGGAGGCCCCAGAUGUGUUGGCUGAAGGCAAACCCAGAGCUGGGGAGAUGGGGGCAAAGCUGCAUACACCUCCAGCCACAGCCACUGGGCGCUGGUGGGCGGAGGGCAGUGUGUGGGAAGGUGCGUGGUGCAAGGUCGGGCAGCCAUGGCUGAACACCAUCUCUGCUCCCAGCCAGUUAGCUCAGCCCUGGAAAAUCACCACAGUGUCCUCAUUCUGCAGAGUCUGGAUAAGACUCCAGGGAUCAGGGGGAAGAGGAGAAGAGGGGCGUGCAGGCCAGCUCCGUCCCAUCUCCCAGUGGGGAAUCCAUCAGCUCACAGCCACCGAGUCGGAGGCCCGCAGCAGGUCCCAGCUGGAGAUGGCAGUGCCUCAGAAAGACCUUGGCUGUGGGUGCCAGGAUGUGAUGCUUCCAGAACUCUCCAUGUUCCCUCAUCUCUGCCAAUUCACAGCCCGGCUUUACUGUCCCCUGCACACUGACUUUCUCCAUGGCAGCCAGACCACAAUGUGAGGUUCCUGCAGGGAGGAGGCCCCCGGGGUGGAAGCGGGUGAGGAUUUUGGGGAAGGCUGCCAGCCCAGGUCUGGUGGUCAGCCCCAGCCACUUCUGGUCAGCAGGGCAUUUGAGGGGGCAGGGGCUGGGUCUCCCUGCAGUCCUAUGAUGCAACAACCCCUGGAAGGUGCGGCAGCUCUUCCCCUGGCUUGGGAAGUGGAAAAUCCCAGGGAGGGGCCACGGAGGCACGGAUGCUGCUUGGUGAACACAGGUGUGCCGGCAGGGGCAGAAACAGCCCCCAGGCCCCGGCGCCAGCAGAGAGCGCCAGGCUGUGCCUUGCAGUCCCGCUGCCCACUUCCCUGGUGGCCGGUCUUGAUCCGGAGCUGUGCAAGGGAUGAGAAUCCUGAGGAGCGUCAGCCCUUCCUGGCUAAGUCGACACCUCCUGGAGCUGCCACUUGAGCUCUUCCAAGGUCCACACCUUACAGUCUCUGCCUGACCCGUGUCCCUACCCCCACAGCCCGCGUGGUCCCUGUCUGGGUUGGGUGUCCCUCCCUGGACCACAUGCCUCUGGACCCAGAGUCAGGCAGGAAGGUGAUAAAAGAGCAGCUUCUGCAAGCACCUGAGCCGAGGUGGUUUCUUGGGACAGGAAGGCUACGACGGUGUCACCUCAAUCAUCAUUCACACGUUAUCCAUUAAAGUGAUAAAGUGGGGGAAACGUGGGCGAGGACCUUGUAUCAAAGAGAAGGACGCCAAACCUGUGGGUCACGAGCAACCAUGAACUUGUCCUUCUGGGGCACGGCACAUGGCUCUCUGGGUCCCAAGGACCACAGCCAGUCCUAUAUCCUCAGUGUGAACGUGAGCACCUGCCACCCCCACACUCCGCCACAGGCUUCAGGUAGGGGACCGUGUCCAGUACAGCCCUGCCCCCAGGUGUGCCUGUCACAGCAAGAGUGCCCACGCACACUGGGGCUGUGUGUGAGCAGCACCCCUCCUGGGUCCCCCCUCCGUCUCCUCCGGGCAAUCAGGGCAGCUGUCCCCGUCCCUACGGCAGACAUCUUCCACGCUUCUGGCUACGGUGCUCUUUAAAUCCACUCACAAACCUCUCUCUGGCACCAGCCGUGUGCCAGCACCGUGCCUGCCCCUGCGGAGCUGAGUCUGGAGUGAGGGAGAAUAGAAAGUCACCACAUUGUCCCUGUGAGGCUAAGUAUUUGGAUGCUGGAUGCUGGGAGGUGCCUACAUCCCUCUGAGGGCUUCUCCUUGGCCUUCCCAUACAUUGUAUGGCUCUUCUUUUCCAGUCUCCCACAUCCCCUUUCCCAGUGUUGGAGUGUGUGCCUUCCCCCCAGGGCUGAAUUCUUUCCAGACUUUGGGAGAACCUGGGCAUCCUGGCUUGGGCCUUCUGCUCUGACCUGGAGCUGCUCCGUUUUGGACGAAGGAACUGGUUCCCAGAGCUGCCAGCUGCUAUUCCUCACACCUGCCCGCCCCCUGCCCCUUCCCAUACCAGAGGACACCAGGCAGGAGUCUGGCAAGAACGACCCGCCCAGACACCCCAGGGCCUCUGUGAUCACCCAGAGAGCUCCGCCCGUGACGCCCGAGUCCUCCAGAGGCAGACGGUGCCAGGAAAGCAAAGAUCCUGAGGCUUGAUGCCACACCAACCCGGCUGUGAGUCCUGGCUGCAGUCCUGAUUGGCUGGAUGUGUCUGAACAGCAUGUUUAGCUUCUCCUCAACCGUCAGCCUUCCUGAAAAUGGACACCAUGUACCCUACAGGGCUGCCAGGAAGAGUGAUUAUGUAAAUAUUGAGUUGAAGGCUCCAAGGCUAUUUUUACCAAUAAUAGCCAAGUGGAUUCUCACGGCCUCUUAGGCUUGUUGUGGAGAUCAAUGAGGCCAUUUGAAUGUAUUCGGUGGUUUUGUUCUUGGCUUGUAUCCCUUGAAUCUUGUACAUGAUGGUAAAUAAUUAUCUGUUGAAUAAAUGAAUGAGUAAGUA